GCUGUGCUCUGAUCCCUUUAAAAAAAGAAUUAAUGGCUGAUUCUUCUUCUCUUAUCUGAGGGAAAUGGUCUGAUAUGUUAUUUCAUACAUACCUUCUCUGUUUCUUCCUCCUACUUUCUUACCCUAGUUGGUGGGGCCAUUUAGUUUUAAGUAAACUGGGAAAAAGGGAUAGAUGUAGGCCAUGUAGCCAAGUAAAUCUAGACUGUGGACUGUGAAUAGUUAUGCUUCGCCGCUUUUUUUUCUUAUGUCAUCUUUAGUCACUCCUGGGAAAGUGUUGACAAGUAUUGCAACUUCCUGGGCAAGGAUUGAAGAGUUGUUCUGUUUUUGUAGUCGAAUCGAAAGAGAAUUUCGACAAAUGAAGUCAUAGAUGUAUAUAAAAUAUGGAAAGGAUAUCUUGGCUUUCAUGCUAAUUCAACUACAGAAGGUGUUACGUUGUUGAUAACGCAUGAUUUUCUCUUCUGAAACCAGCUUCUAGUUGGGAUAGCGGAAAUUUAAUGUUAUAAACCGUAUGUCUUGACUUUGCAGUACCUUCAAGGCUCCAAGAUUAUGGUGUGUAUGGAAGAUCUGGUGAGCACAACCCGCUAUGUUUCUUGGUCUCUUCAUAACAAGUUUGCUCAAACAACCUGGUAACUGCAAAUUACUUGUACAAGUUUAAAUGGCAAGACGGAGAACGAAAAAUCAGCAUUUAUAAUUUCAGUUCAUUGGUGAAGAAACUACAGCUGCCUUUGGUGCUACAGAGUUGACGGAUUAUCCUACAUGGAUUGUUGACCCACUUGAUGGGACAACUAACUUUGUGCAUGGGUUCCCGUUUGUUUGUGUUUCUAUUGGUCUCACCAUUGGAAAAGUCCCAACUGUCGGUGUCGUGUAUAAUCCAAUUAUGAAUGAGGUAUAUACUCCGAGGAAUGCGCCUUAUGCUAGUGAGGAAUUGAUGUGGUUCGUGAGCAAUUGGCUAAGUGUUUUACCAGCAAGUAUUUAUUAUUGGCCUCAGCGAGUUUGGUCGAGUUGUUUGAUAUUAAAAUGUAUGCAUACGUUGAAAUUAGAACGAACAAAUAUUUAAAUGUAGUACAUGCACUUUGGUUUUGGAAUAUAUUAAUAUACAAAACAACAAUUAUUGUUUUUA